AGACAUAUGGGGCAAGCGUUACUCGGAAUCACUAGGCGUAAAGCGCGUGUAGGCGGAUACGUAAGUCUGCUGUGAAAUCUCCCGGCUCAACUGGGAGCCUGCGGCGGAAACUACGUGUCUAGAGUUAGGUAGGGGUAAGCGGAAUUCCUGGUGUAGCGGUGAAAUGCGUAGAUAUCAGGAGGAACACCGAUGGCGAAAGCAGCUUACUGGGCCUUAACUGACGCUAAGACGCGAAAGCUGGGGUAGCAAACAGGAUUAGAUACCCCGGUAGUCC
rnacentral:rRNA from 1 species